GCCUACGGGGGGCAGCAGUGGGGAAUAUUGCACAAUGGGGGAAACCCUGAUGCAGCAACGCCGCGUGAGUGAAGAAGUAUUUCGGUAUGUAAAGCUCUAUCCGCAGGGAAGAAGAUGACGGUACCUGACCAAGAAGCCCCGGCUAACUACGUGCCAGCAGCCGCGGUAAUACGUAGGGGGCAAGCGUUAUCCGGAUUUACUGGGUGUAAAGGGAGCGCAGACGGCGGUGCAAGUCUGGAGUGAAAGCCCG
rnacentral:rRNA from 1 species